rnacentral:misc_RNA from 1 species
UUUCCGUAGGUGAACCUGCGGAAGGAUCAUUAAAUAAUUUAGAUGACCUCCUAGAACUUGUUCUAGUUAGGUUCAUUCUUUUUUACUGUGAACUGUUUUAAUUUUCAGCGUUUGAGGAAUGUCUUUUAGUCAUAGGGAUAGACUAUUAGAAUGUUAACCGAGCUGAAGUUAGGUUUAGACCUGGUAUCCUAUUAAUUAUUUACCAAAAGAAUUCAGUAUUAUUAUUGUAACAUAAGCGUAAAAAACUUAUAAAACAACUUUUAACAACGGAUCUCUUGGUUCUC